UACGGAGGGUGCAAGCGUUAUCCGGAUUCACUGGGUUUAAAGGGUGCGUAGGCGGGCUUGUAAGUCAGUGGUGAAAGCCCGGGGCUUAACUCCGGAACUGCCGUUGAUACUGCAAGCCUUGAGUACGGUUGAGGUGGGCGGAAUACAUCAUGUAGAGGUGAAAUUCUUAGAUAUGAUGUAGAACACCGAUUGCGAAGGCAGCUCACUAAAGCGUAACUGACGCUGAGGCACGAAAGCAUGGGGAUCAAACAGG
rnacentral:rRNA from 1 species